rnacentral:rRNA from 1 species
GAUGAACGCUGGCGGCGUGCCUAAUACAUGCAAGUCGAGCGAACGGACGAGAAGCUUGCUUCUCUGAUGUUAGCGGCGGACGGGUGAGUAACACGUGGAUAACCUACCUAUAAGACUGGGAUAACUUCGGGAAACCGGAGCUAAUACCGGAUAAUAUUUUGAACCGCAUGGUUCAAAAGUGAAAGACGGUCUUGCUGUCACUUAUAGAUGGAUCCGCGCUGCAUUAGCUAGUUGGUAAGGUAACGGCUUACCAAGGCAACGAUGCAUAGCCGACCUGAGAGGGUGAUCGGCCACACUGGAACUGAGACACGGUCCAGACUCCUACGGGAGGCAACAGUAGGGAAUCUUCCGCAAUGGGCGAAAGCCUGACGGAGCAACGCCGCGUGAGUGAUGAAGGUCUUCGGAUCGUAAAACUCUGUUAUUAGGGAAGAACAUAUGUGUAAGUAACUGUGCACAUCUUGACGGUACCUAAGCAGAAAGCCACGGCUAACUACGU